GAACUCAUUUGUUUUGCCACACUACAUCGCAUAUAAACACACACACAUAUGCACAUUCCCACAGCCGCUUUUUUUUGUGUUUGCCCGUUUUCUUUAUUUUAGUGAAAUUUGCAUACCACCGACCAGACCAGACCAGACCAGACCACCAACAACCGAACUUUGACAAUGCAAUUUGAAAAGCCUGACGUUCGCCCGAUCCCUGCCUGCCCUGCCACAUGUGGCUAAACAUUAGCGGUCACUUGUGGGAGCCUGCCCCUUGGACUGCUGCUGGCUUUGCGGCUUUUUUCGGGCUAUAUGCUCCGGAAAAACGUUCUUAAUGAGCCUCAUACGGAUUUUGUGGCUUCUCUGGCUUGAAUCGAUGCAAAGUUGGGCCCCGAACAAUAGACUGAGGACUGUCCUGGGAUUGGCUUGGAAGAGGAGUACCAGCAAGAUGUAGAUGCAAAUCAAGUCGUGUCCUGGUCCUGGUCCUGGUCCCUGUCCACACCCGGCGCAAUUCUAGAACUCGGAGCCCAUUGUUUGCACUCAAAUUAUUUACACAUUAUCUGCGGGCACAGGAGCCAGCCGGAGGACGAGCCCCAAGUCCCCAAGGAGAACACACACACAUUGAGAGAGUCAGACUUUUUAAUAAACUUGAAACACGAGCAAGCGUGAGCCACAAGGACACCAGAGACCGGUCCCCAGAGAGGGCAAGGAUGUGGAUGUAGACGUGGAACAACUGCAGUCGGGGCCAAGAUUUAUGCAAACCAAAAUGUUGCCAAAAAUUACAAUUUAAUGGACUCGACACUGUGAGGAGAAUGUGCGUGCUCGUGUGCGUGGCUUGGUGUGGCGCGGCGCGGCGCGGCGUGGCCCAUAAUGAGCAGCGAGAAACUUGCAACAAAAGCCAAAGUCGACAAGACAAAGGCCACAACAACAACGGAAAGAAGGAGUCGUCGUAGGACCAAGAGAAACUAGAAAUGUAAGCAAAAGUAACUUCUCUAAUUUUGCAGGAAAUAUGAAGCCAUUAAAGUGCAGCAGACAAGGCGAAACAUGGCAACAUCUUGACUACUGCGGCACACACAUACCCAGACAGAGGAGAGGCUGAGUCUCCGGCUGAGGAGGCUCCAGCCGCCCCGGCCAUGUGGCGACUGUGUCCUGUAAAAGUUGUCCUCGAGAGUGUGAAAAUAAAUUGUAAAAAGUCGCAGAAGUGAAAAUGGCAACUGGUUUGCAUGUGGCCCCACAACAGUGGAACUCC